rnacentral:rRNA from 1 species
AAAUUUGAAAUCUAGUAGCCUUCGGCUGCUCGAGUUGUAAUCUAGAGAAGUGUUUUCCGUGCCGGCCCAUGUACAAGUCCCUUGGAACAGGGCGUCAUAGAGGGUGAGAAUCCCGUCCUUGACAUGGACCCCCGGUGCUCUGUGAUACACUUUCAACGAGUCGAGUUGUUUGGGAAUGCAGCUCAAAAUGGGUGGUGAAUUCCAUCUAAAGCUAAAUAUUGGCGAGAGACCGAUAGCGAACAAGUACCGUGAGGGAAAGAUGAAAAGCACUUUGGAAAGAGAGUUAAACAGUACGUGAAAUUGUUGAAAGGGAAACGAUUGAAGUCAGUCAUGCUCUUUGGUAUUUAUAUCAUUGAGUGGGGUCAACAUCAGUUUUGAGCGAUGGAUAAAGGCACUAGGAAGGUAGCACUCUCGGGUGAACUUAUAGCCUAGCGUCAUAUACAUUGUUUGGGACUGAGGAACGCAGCAUGCCUUUAUGGCCGGGAUUCGUCCACGUACAUGCUUAGGAUGUUGACAUAAUGGCUUUAAACGACCCGUCUUG